GCUUCUCGCUAUCAGAUAUU
rnacentral:snRNA from 1 species